rnacentral:rRNA from 1 species
CGGGUGAGUAACACGUGGAUAACCUACCUAUAAGACUGGGAUAACUUCGGGAAACCGGAGCUAAUACCGGAUAAUAUUUUGAACCGCAUGGUUCAAAAGUGAAAGACGGUCUUGCUGUCACUUAUAGAUGGAUCCGCGCUGCAUUAGCUAGUUGGUAAGGUAACGGCUUACCAAGGCAACGAUGCAUAGCCGACCUGAGAGGGUGAUCGGCCACACUGGAACUGAGACACGGUCCAGACUCCUACGGGAGGCAGCAGUAGGGAAUCUUCCGCAAUGGGCGAAAGCCUGACGGAGCAACGCCGCGUGAGUGAUGAAGGUCUUCGGAUCGUAAAACUCUGUUAUUAGGGAAGAACAUAUGUGUAAGUAACUGUGCACAUCUUGACGGUACCUAAUCAGAAAGCCACGGCUAACUACGUGCCAGCAGCCGCGGUAAUACGUAGGUGGCAAGCGUUAUCCGGAAUUAUUGGGCGUAAAGCGCGCGUAGGCGGUUUUUUAAGUCUGAUGUGAAAGCCCACGGCUCAACCGUGGAGGGUCAUUGGAAACUGGAAAACUUGAGUGCAGAAGAGGAAAGUGGAAUUCCAUGUGUAGCGGUGAAAUGCGCAGAGAUAUGGAGGAACACCAGUGGCGAAGGCGACUUUCUGGUCUGUAACUGACGCUGAUGUGCGAAAGCGUGGGGAUCAAACAGGAUUAGAUACCCUGGUAGUCCACGCCGUAAACGAUGAGUGCUAAGUGUUAGGGGGUUUCCGCCCCUUAGUGCUGCAGCUAACGCAUUAAGCACUCCGCCUGGGGAGUACGACCGCAAGGUUGAAACUCAAAGGAAUUGACGGGGACCCGCACAAGCGGUGGAGCAUGUGGUUUAAUUCGAAGCAACGCGAAGAACCUUACCAAAUCUUGACAUCCUUUGACAACUCUAGAGAUAGAGCUUUCCCCUUCGGGGGACAAAGUGACAGGUGGUGCAUGGUUGUCGUCAGCUCGUGUCGUGAGAUGUUGGGUUAAGUCCCGCAACGAGCGCAACCCUUAAGCUUAGUUGCCAUCAUUAAGUUGGGCACUCUAAGUUGACUGCCGGUGACAAACCGGAGGAAGGUGGGGAUGACGUCAAAUCAUCAUGCCCCUUAUGAUUUGGGCUACACACGUGCUACAAUGGACAAUACAAAGGGCAGCGAAACCGUGAGGUCAAGCAAAUCCCAUAAAGUUGUUCUCAGUUCGGAUUGUAGUCUGCAACUCGACUACAUGAAGCUGGAAUCGCUAGUAAUCGUAGAUCAGCAUGCUACGGUGAAUACGUUCCCGGGUCUUGUACAC